GACCCCAGGUCAGGCGGGACUACCCGCUGAGUUUAAGCAUAUCAAUAAGCGGAGGAGAAGAAACUUACAAGGAUUCCCCUAGUAACGGCGAGCGAACCGGGAUCAGCCCAGCUUGAGAAUCGGGCGGCUUUGUCGUCCGA
rnacentral:rRNA from 1 species